ACCUGGAUGGCUCAGUAGGUUAAGCCUCUGAUUUCGGCUCAGAUCAUGAUCUCACAGUUUGUGAGUUCGAGUCUUGCUUUGGGGU
rnacentral:tRNA from 1 species